AUAAAGAUGUCCUGGAGAGGGUGA
rnacentral:misc_RNA from 1 species